UACGAAGGGUGCAAGCGUUACUCGGAAUUACUGGGCGUAAAGGGAGCGUAGGCGGAUAGUUCAGUCAGAGGUGAAAGCCCAGGGCUCAACCUUGGAACUGCCUUUGAUACUGGCUAUCUCGAGUUUGGGAGAGGUGUGUGGAACUCCGAGUGUAGAGGUGAAAUUCGUAGAUAUUCGGAAGAACACCAGUGGCGAAGGCGACACACUGGCCCAAUACUGACGCUGAGGCUCGAAAGCGUGGGGAGCAAACAGG
rnacentral:rRNA from 1 species